UUAAGAAUCUUGCACAAUGGGCGAAAGCCUGAUGCAGCGACGCCGCGUGAAUGAUGAAGGCCUUCGGGUUGUAAAGUUCAUUAAGCAGGGAAGAAUAAGCAAAUAUUAAUACUAUUUGUGAUGACGGUACCUGUCUAAAGCCUCGGCUAACUACGUGCCAGCAGCCGCGGUAAUACGUAUGAGGCGAGCGUUGUUCGGAAUUAUUGGGCGUAAAGGGUGUUUAGGCGGGGGAUUAAGUUAGGUGUGAAAGCCAUGAGCUUAACUCGUGAAAUGCAUCUAAAACUGAUUCUCUUGAGUUCGGGAGAGGAGAGCGGAAUUCCCGGUGUAGCGGUGAAAUGCGUAGAUAUGCGGAGGAACACCGAUGGCGAAGGCAAUCCCCUGGACCUGUACUGACGCUCAUGCACGAAAGCGUGGGGAGCAAACAGG
rnacentral:rRNA from 1 species